ensembl:lncRNA
GUCAACAGGUCAUCUUACUGAACAGGUCAACAGGUCAUCUUACUGAACAGGUCCACAGGUCAUCUUACUGAACAGGUCAACACAGGUCAUUUUGGUCAACAGGUCAUCAUACUGAACAGGUCAACACAGGUCAUCUUGGUCAACAGGUCAUCAUACUGAACAGGUCAAUGGGUCAUCUUACUGAACAGGUCAACAGGUCAUCUUACUGAACAAGUCAACUUACAGAACAUGUCAUCUAACUUAACAGGUCAUCUUCUUGAACAGGUCACCUUACUGAACAGGUAAACCGGUCAUCUUACUGAACAGGUCAAUGAUCAGUAAGAUUGUAUCUUGUCAAAAACACAUUUUUCCAGAAUUUUACUAAGGGUUGGUAACAGGCUGAUUGGUCGGCUUUUUGAGCCAGUAAAGGGGGCUUUACUAUUCUUAGGUAGUGGAAUGACUUUAGCUUCCCUCCAGGCCUGAGGACACACGCUCUCUAGUAGGCUUAAAUUGAAGAUAUGGCAAAUAGGAGUGGCAAUAUCGUCUGCUAUUAUCCUCAGUAAUGUUCCAUCCAAGUUGUCAGACCCCAGUGGCUUGUCAUUGUUGAUAGACAACCAUAAUUUGUUCCUCUUCUACACUCACUUAACAGAACUCGAAAU